GAUGAACGCUGACAGAAUGCUUAACACAUGCAAGUCUACUUGAAUUUGGGUUUUUUAACUUCGAUUUGGGUGGCGGACGGGUGAGUAACGCGUAAAGAACUUGCCUCACAGCUAGGGACAACAUUUGGAAACGAAUGCUAAUACCUGAUAUUAUGAUUAUAGGGCAUCCUAGAAUUAUGAAAGCUAUAUGCGCUGUGAGAGAGCUUUGCGUCCCAUUAGCUAGUUGGAGAGGUAACGGCUCACCAAGGCGAUGAUGGGUAGCCGGCCUGAGAGGGUGAACGGCCACAAGGGGACUGAGACACGGCCCUUACUCCUACGGGAGGCAGCAGUGGGGAAUAUUGGACAAUGGACCGAGAGUCUGAUCCAGCAAUUCUGUGUGCACGAUGACGUUUUUCGGAAUGUAAAGUGCUUUCAGUUGGGAAGAAAAAAAUGACGGUACCAACAGAAGAAGUGACGGCUAAAUACGUGCCAGCAGCCGCGGUAAUACGUAUGUCACGAGCGUUACCCGGAUUUAUUGGGCGUAAAGCGCGUCUAGGUGGUUAUGUAAGUCUGAUGUGAAAAUGCAGGGCUCAACUCUGUAUUGCGUUGGAAACUGUGUAACUAGAGUACUGGAGAGGUAAGCGGAACUACAAGUGUAGAGGUGAAAUUCGUAGAUAUUUGUAGGAAUGCCGAUGGGGAAGCCAGCUUACUGGACAGAUACUGACGCUGAAGCGCGAAAGCGUGGGUAGCAAACAGG
rnacentral:rRNA from 1 species